rnacentral:lncRNA from 1 species
GCAAGACCCUCCGAUGCUCAAGUCAGUUCUCUGCCUCAACAAGAACGAAGUGCUCGAACGAAAAUUUUAGUAGAGUUUUGAGAUAGAAAAUGAGAGCUUAGAGAAUAACGUAUCUGGAACCCUCCUUUUUAUAGGCGGAGGGGGCAAUAGACUGAUAGCGACGUUUGUAACCGUCUGGCAGUGGGCUGUUCGGAGCCAGGAGGAGUUUGUUAUGAGAAGUAGUGGAGUGGAAUCGUGGCCAUCACCGUGACCUGCCACGUGGAGUCUGUU